CUCAGGAUGAACGCUGGCGGCGUGCCUAACACAUGCAAGUCGAACGGACGAGAACGAGCUUGCNCUUUCGAGUUAGUGGCGGACGGGUGAGUAACGCGUGAGCAACCUGCCUUUCAGAGGGGGAUAGCUCUGGGAAACUAGGAGGUAAUACAGCAUAAGCUCGAGAGAGGAAAGGAGAGAUUCGCUUUAGGAGUGGCCCGCGGCUGAUUAGGUAGUUGGUGUGGUAAAGGCCUACCAAGCCGAUGAUCAGUAGCUGGUCUGAGAGGACGGACAGGCCACACUGGAACUGAGAAACGGUCCAGACUCCUACGGGAGGCAGCAGUGGGGAAUAUUGGGUCAAUGGUCUGACGACUGAACCAGCCAUGCCGCGUGAAGGUCACGGCCCUAUGGGUCUUAAACUUCUUUUGCGAGGGAGCAAUAAGGUCUACGUGUAGUCCGAUGAGAGUACCUCGCGAAUAAGCAUCGGCUAACUCCGUG
rnacentral:rRNA from 1 species